AUUGAACGCUGGCGGCAGGCCUAACACAUGCAAGUCGAACGGUAACAGGGAGCAGCUUGCUGCUUCGCUGACGAGUGGCGGACGGGUGAGUAAUGUCUGGGAAGCUGCCUGAUGGAGGGGGAUAACUACUGGAAACGGUAGCUAAUACCGCAUAAUGUCGCAAGACCAAAGAGGGGGACCUUCGGGCCUCUUGCCAUCGGAUGUGCCCAGAUGGGAUUAGCUUGUUGGUGGGGUAACGGCUCACCAAGGCGACGAUCCCUAGCUGGUCUGAGAGGAUGACCAGCCACACUGGGACUGAGGCACGGUCCAGACUCCUACGGGAGGCAGCAGUGGGGAAUAUUGCACAAUGGGCGCAAGCCUGAUGCAGCCAUGCCGCGUGUAUGAAGAAGGCCUUCGAGUUGUAAAGUACUUUCAGCGGGGAGGAAGGGAGUAAAGUUAAUACCUUUGCUCAUUGACGUUACCCGCAGAAGAAGCACCGGCUAACUCCGUG
rnacentral:rRNA from 1 species